rnacentral:rRNA from 1 species
CCUCAGGUCAGGCGGGGCUACCCGCUGAGUUUAAGCAU